UACGUAGGGUGCAGGCGUUAAUCGGAAUUACUGGGCGUAAAGCGUGCGCAGGCGGUUUGCUAAGACAGGUGUGAAAUCCCCGGGCUCAACCUGGGAACUGCAUCUGUGACUGCAUCGCUGGAGUACGGUAGAGGGGGAUGGAAUUCCGCGUGUAGCAGUGAAAUGCGUAGAUAUGCGGAGGAACACCGAUGGCGAAGGCAAUCCCCUGGACCUGUACUGACGCUCAUGCACGAAAGCGUGGGGAGCAAACAGG
rnacentral:rRNA from 1 species